rnacentral:tRNA from 1 species
GGUGAAAUGGCCGAGCGGUCUAAGGCGCCAGACUAAGGAGAUCAUGUCAUCAGAUGACAAGUUAAUCUGGUCUCUUCGGGGGCGUGAGUUCGAAUCUCACUUUCAUCA